rnacentral:rRNA from 1 species
AAAUCAAUGUAUAAGAGGUCCUACCUGCCCAGUGACAUUUAGUUAAACGGCCGCGGUAUUUUGACCGUGCUAAGGUAGCGCAAUCACUUGUCUUUUAAAUGAAGACCUGUAUGAAUGGUGGAACGAGGGCUUAACUGUCUCCCCCCUUAGGUCAGUGAAAUUGAUCUCCCCGUGCAGAAGCGGGUAUAACUAUACAAGACGAGAAGACCCUUUGGAGCUUAAGACACAGGGCCAACUAUGUCAAGAAUUUUUAUUAAUGAAAAUGAAACAAAAUAUUAAGUGGCCGGAGUCUUCGGUUGGGGCGACCGCGGAGGAAAAUAAAGCCUCCAUGUGGAAUGGGGUAACCUAAAACCGUGAGGGACACCUCUAAGUAACAGAAUAUCUGACCAAGAGAUCCGGUCCUAGGACCGAUCAACGAACCAAGUUACCCUAGGGAUAACAGCGCAAUCCCCUCCAAGAGUCCAUAUCGACAAGGGGGUUUACGACCUCGAUGUUGGAUCAGGACAUCCUAAUGGUGCAGCCGCUAUUAAGGGUUCGUUUGUUCAACGAUUAAAGU